rnacentral:rRNA from 1 species
GACGAACGCUGGCGGCGUGCCUAAUACAUGCAAGUAGAACGCUGAAGGAGGAGCUUGCUUCUCCGGAUGAGUUGCGAACGGGUGAGUAACGCGUAGGUAACCUGCCUGGUAGCGGGGGAUAACUAUUGGAAACGAUAGCUAAUACCGCAUAACAGUAGAUAUCGCAUGAUAUCUGCUUGAAAGGUGCAAUUGCAUCACUACCAGAUGGACCUGCGUUGUAUUAGCUAGUUGGUGAGGUAACGGCUCACCAAGGCGACGAUACAUAGCCGACCUGAGAGGGUGAUCGGCCACACUGGGACUGAGACACGGCCCAGACUCCUACGGGAGGCAGCAGUAGGGAAUCGUCGGCAAUGGACGGAAGUCUGACCGAGCAACGCCGCGUGAGUGAAGAAGGGUUUCGGAUCGUAAAGCUCUGUUGUAAGAGAAGAACGAGUGUGAGAGUGGAAAGUUCACACUGUGACGGUAUCUUAACAGAAAGGGACGGCUAACUACGUG